CCUGAAACACGAAACAAAAAACACCAAAUUAGAGGAUUGAACACCAUAGAUGGUAGAUGGGUGGAUCUUUUCUUUUUCUUUUUCUACUUUUUAGGAGAAAGAUGGACGGAUCUGACUACGUGCCUACGAGGAAGGUGAUCAUGUGCGUGUUCUUGAGCUGCUGCGGCUUGAGGUUGGUAUUGCAGAAGUGUUCGUGCAGGAUGUAGAUGAUGGUACCUUGUCGGAGCUGCUGAACGGCGAUCUCUUUACCUUCUGUGAAAACAAGUCCGUUGCUCGUUGUUGCUCUGAUACCUGAAAGCAUUUCGUGUCAGUUGCCAAAAACACAUCAGUUUAAUUACGCGUGUUAGUUCUGCAGACAAUAUGAGUAGCGUGACAGAUGCUGAGGCGUCACCAACUCACCAUGUUAGCACUAAGAAGUUUAUAAAUUCAGAUGCUAACCAGACAGGAAGGAAGGGACCAACAGUGCUUAUUUGCUUAUAAAUUUGUAUCUGCAUGAUGCCAAUCCAGUAGGAUAACUGAUCACUAACUGGAGUGUUUGCCUUUAAAUAAUAUGCAUGACCUAUACUCCCUCUUUUUCACAAA